GAAUCUGCCUGGUAGUGGGGGAUAACGUUCGGAAACGGACGCUAAUACCGCAUACGUCCUACGGGAGAAAGCAGGGGACCUUCGGGCCUUGCGCUAUCAGAUGAGCCUAGGUCGGAUUAGCUAGUUGGUGGGGUAAUGGCUCACCAAGGCGACGAUCCGUAACUGGUCUGAGAGGAUGAUCAGUCACACUGGAACUGAGACACGGUCCAGACUCCUACGGGAGGCAGCAGUGGGGAAUAUUGGACAAUGGGCGAAAGCCUGAUCCAGCCAUGCCGCGUGUGUGAAGAAGGUCUUCGGAUUGUAAAGCACUUUAAGUUGGGAGGAAGGGUUGUAGAUUAAUACUCUGCAAUUUUGACGUUACCGACAGAAUAAGCACCGGCUAACUCUGUGCCAGCAGCCGCGGUAAUACAGAGGGUGCAAGCGUUAAUCGGAAUUACUGGGCGUAAAGCG
rnacentral:rRNA from 1 species